rnacentral:lncRNA from 1 species
GUGUAACUGAUGUGCAUGUGCAAAUCCAGAGGGCUGAUCCAUACAUCAUUCAUUAAAUCCUGUGGAGUUUGAGCUCCACCAGCCACUGUGAACUCCUGUCACCUGCAGCUACAGGGUUUGGUUCCCACUUAAAUGGCACAGGUGCCAUGGUAGGGCUGCAGCACUAGACCCACCACAGAGCCUUCCUAUGACCUGCACUGGGUGCUGCCCUGUCACACAGAUCAACCCACCAAGCUUUUAUGUCAUGAAGCAGAUCAGCAUCUUCAAUCCCAUGGUUAAUAGACAAUCCAAACACGAGGUAAACCUGGACCAAAGGACACACUUUGCCAGAUGGGCGAAAGCAACCUACAUUUUCCUUGGUCCCACUGCCACGACUGAUGACAGAUUUUCCUGCAGAACUCCAGGCAGGCUAGCAUUAAAACAAGAAAAAGCAGUCCAUCCAAACAUUUGUAGUGGCUGA